rnacentral:lncRNA from 1 species
UUUCCUAGCAGCUCUAUACUACUUGUUGUAGUAUUGUAUGAUUUACAGAUACAGCUACGCUUCGUAUACAGGAAAAAAAAUUUUGUGUACGGCGGAUUUGUCGGCGUGCCCGGGGAACGUGUAAUCCGGGGCGUGACAUAUAAACGACGGGUAAGCGACGGUGGGUUCCGAUGUCGAAUUGGACACUUUCGGGAACCCGGAUCGGAACGAUUAUCCGAUAAUAAUUAUUUCGAAGUGAGACAAUAUUUUUGCUACCAAGUCACACGAAAAUAUGUGUUUAGUGGCAGCGGAUGACUUGUAGCUGGAGUCGGUGAGUUCCGGUACAGUACGUGGGUCCCAGCGGAGUCUCGAUGCAAUUUUCGGGACUUCCGACGUGUUUGGCAAUCGAUUUUGGGAAACAGAUUCUCGUAGGGUUAGUGGUGGGGUUUGUGAGUUAGUGAUUCGUGUUGUGGGUUGGACGCUAACCCGGUGGACCCUUCGUAGGUCCGGUUGUGACUUCCUCCGCAGUUGGAAGGCCAGUACCACAUUUGUACAGGUGGAUACUUCGAUCCGAAGUCGGUACAGUGGUGCACGCUCGAUGACAUCUUCUUACCCUUGUUCUCUAGUUGUUAUCUUGCAUAUAUAUGUCUAUAUAUUGUGUUGAGUCUAGCACCCAUGUUGUUCUCGUUAUACUCUACUCGGUUGUUUUUUUAUGUCUAGUAUCAUGAAUAGAAGUAAAGCAGAUUUAUGAUUUCAUAUGAGAUUGGUGACCUAGUUGGUCGGUUCUAGUAUUCCAUAUCUGUGACCUUUUUGGUCGGUUCAUUGUAUAUGGUAUUGUGACCUACUUGGUCGAUUGGACUACUUGGUGACCUAUACAAUCGGUAUGCCCAGAGAGGUAGGAUUGUCGGCUAGUUGUCGAUGGUUGGCUAUUGAGCAUUCAGCAUCGAUCGUUACUAGUACGCAUUUCACGAACAUCAGCGGUCUGAUCCAUCGCAAGAGGGUGUUCUUUUCGAAAAAAGUGAUUAGAUGUGCCAGCCCAUGAGCCCAGCAGUCAGAACUAGGUUAUAUGCAGCCUGUGAGCCCAGCGGUCAAACUGGGUUAUAUACAGGUAGAGUGGCAGUGGCAUAGGCCUGAGGUUUUGCAGACCAAUAUGGUUGUUUCUGAUUAGGUAUUUUUGGACUUGUUGUCCGGCUGAUGCAUACAUACAGUAGCAAUAGUUGUUCAUUUAUACAUCCUGUUCAUUUAUUAUCGCUGCUACUGUAUUACACUUAUCCAUACCUUUGUUUAGCCUCCUUGACUGGUGAGUACCCCUCGCCCUCGUCGACUUGUGGUACCUACUAGGAGGGAAGAUAUGUUUACAUAUUCUCACCCCCCACCCCCAUUACAGGUGAUGUCGUGGGACGAUUCGUGAGGAGCGCGUCUAGCGAUCGAUAAAUCCACCGUCCCGUUGUUUGGUUAAUUCUCAAACUCAGAUUCUUUAAAUAAAUGACUUAGACAGUUAAUUGGUUCAGUGACUUAUUACUUUUGAAUUCAUACGGUUUUAUGAAUGUAAUAAAGGAUUUGUGGAUUUUUGUGAAAUAGAAAUUGUUUUCUAUCCCUCGUGGUAGCGAGUUUUAAAAGGAAAAGAUUUCCAUAUGGAAAACAGUUUUUAAAAGGUUUUCUUAGUUUUCAUGAUUUAGUGUUUUAAAACGAAUUUCGGAUAGGAAACAUUUUAAACCAAUAGUUGUGGAUUUAUGAAUAACUCUGAUUAUGAAUAUGAUUGUGAAUGGUGUUUGAUUAUGUGUAUGUGUAUAUGUGUGGUUGUAUUCUUUAUGGUAAAUCUUGUAUCUUCUACUUGUGCGACGCCGUGCAAAUAAGGGGGGACUCUGUUCAUNUAUAGGAUGUGUUAUGUUGUUUGAUACCUUCCAUUAUGCAAUCUUGAUUGAAAUGUGUUCCUGGUUGGAACUUCGCACAUUGUAUUGAUUGCUAUGCCUUGAACGUACAGGGGAGACUCUGUCCGCGGUACAGGGGAAACCCUGUCCGUUCGGCGAUCUGUCGGCGGCGCCGCGACCCGGCCAAAUAGGCGGGCGGUCGCGGGGUGUGACAACGGGUUUGUGUACCGGUACACAACCCACGAAAUGGCCAAACCCGAGCCUCGGGUUUGCCUCAAAAUCAUCUGUGUACCGGUACGCGGUCCCGUACCGUUACAGCCAUCAACCACGUACCGGUACAGCCACCAAGCCCAUACCGGUACACAGCCUGCUGAAGGCUACCCGAGAGCUGACCAAAAAUCCAACUUUUUGGAUUUUGGUACACCGCUUUAAACCACAAUUCUCGGGACUCGAACUAUAGGUCGGAACACUGUCAACGACCCACCAGAAAGUCUGAAAAAGCUCGGAACACAAUUAAUCACUCGAACCCCACAAUUUGCGAGGUCCAGUGCGUCACAACCCCGGUGCUUGCCUUGCCGACUCCGGAGGAGACUUUUGUAGUGUACAGUGAUGCCUCUUAUGUUGGUCUCGGGUGUGUACUAAUGCAAAAUUGGCGGGUCAUUGCUUAUGCAUCGCGCCAAUUAAAGAGUUAUGAGAAGAACUACCCGAUUCACGACCUCGAGUUAGCCGCGGUGAUCUUCGCGCUAAAGCUAUGGAGGCAUUACUUGUAUGGUCAGCAUUGCGAGGUCUACACAGAUCAUACAAGUCUAAAGUACUUGUUCACCCAGAAGGAAUUGAACAUGCGGCAGCGGCGGUGCUUGGAGUUGUUGAAGGACUAUGAUGUCACCAUAUAAUACCACCCCGGAAAAGCCAAUGUCGUGGCUGUUAGUUAUAUGCCCUAUAAGCCAAUCUUGUCAUAACUUAAAAGGUUAAUAUCAGUGUACUUUUCUUUUAUAAUUAAACCUAGCAUUCUUCAUUCAUAUUAUUGCCCAAUGCAUAUUUAUGAAUCGUCCAUAGAAGUAAUAGUAGAAGAAUUAACUUUCUAAGAAGUUAGAAAUUUGAGACAUAUAUUCUUCUGUAAUUAAUUCUUAAAUGCUCCUGAUCAUAGGAUUAUUACGAGGGCGGUGGUAAAUCCGGAUAGAUCAGUGUAUGCUGUACUUCCUUUAUGGGAUGACAAGUCUCAAGUCAUUAGUGUGGUGACACUAGAGUAAGCAUACAGGUGAAUGUUGGAGAACAAUUUCACUGAGCGUGACCAACUACGAACAAUCACAUGGAUGUCUACUCACUCGUCAGUGAAUUGUUCCAUACUGUAGUAAUGUGAGUGAUCCUUUGACUUGAGGCACCACGAUUAUCUUGCGUGUGGGUUAUUGUAGUUUGACUGUGUAAAUACUUAUACCCUAAUCAUGGGUUAAGUCAACACAUGUUGGCUGCAGUGGGUCAUACGUGGAGGUAGGUGUGUGUCAAGAUAGAAUCUAUCACCCUCGGUAGAGAGGUAAUUGUCUAAUACUAUCUGUUUUACAAGAUAUAAAAGUCCUUGGCCAAGGCAGUAUGAUUUUAUGGAAAAGAGUUUCCAUAUUAAUUGUUAAUCAAAUAAUACAUAUGAUUGAGUAAUGGGGUUUGACGAGUAAUCCAUAACCUCGGCUCAAUCGGGACUAGUGAUAGAAGGAUUUUAUCACAUGGUAACUACACCUAGAGGUUCCGUCUAUUAUUAAUUCUACUUGGAUUGCCGCGAUAUAUUGCUAGGUGUCACUCGUGGAUCGUGGGACCCAUGAGAGUAAUUAAGAUAGUUAAUUACACUCAUUUGGGAGAGCCAAAAAUGUUUUGGUCCAUCGAGAAGAGUUCCGAUGGUGACACUAAAAGAGUUUAGUGUCACAUUUCACUACCAGAUAGAAUUGAACCUAUGUGGUCACACACAAUAAAGGCUGCGUGUGAACUAGUGCUUGGAGAAUUAAUAGAGAUCAUUUUGCUAAAGUAGCAAAGAAAGGAUUUACUUGCUAAGUUGGUUAGCAAGAAGGACCAAUAUGUAAAGUUAUAGAGUUAAUGCAAUUGUUGCAUACGGUGCACUUGCGCUGAAGUUGCUAAAAGGAGUUUGCCAUCUUUCUCUCAUCAACUCCUCAAUUAAUAAAGAUUAAUUAAGGAAGUUACAAAGUGAAAUUAAACAAGGAAGGGAGAAGACAAAGUGAACUCAGACGUUCACUUACCUUAUUAAUGAUAUAGUUAAUUAGGAGAAAAUGAAAACCUCCUCUUCUCUCUUCCUCGACUCGUUUCUCAUCACUCCACCUAUUAAAUGAGAGUAAUUGACUCCCUAUCAUUUAUGGUGGUAGUUUCUUCUCUCCUCUUUGCCAACAAUGAGAGGAGUUUUGAUUCCCUCUCAUUCAAGGCGUUUAAGCCUAUAAAAGGGGGUGUAAUCCUCCUCAAUGAGUGUGUGUGAUUUGUAAUAAAGUACGAGAGAAAGAGAGAGUUUUUAUCGUAUAUAGAAUUCUCUUUUAAUCAUAAGAGAGAGGUCCUCUUAUAUUAAUUGGUCUCUAUUAUUAAUCCUCUUCAAAUUGCUAGCAUAAUUUUGAGGUUUAAUUUUUCUCCACAUUGACACAAGAGAUCACGAAAGGAGUUUCGAGAUUACACUGUGAUUGUGUGAAGCACAGAUCCCGGAGCAGCCUUGUCUGGAUACACGUAGAGGCUGAACACUUGUGCGGCUCAAAGGACCAGAAGUUCAGAUCCAAAUCAAAUGUGAAAUAAUUUCGGUAAUUUGCACAGGUUGAAAUUCGAACCCUUCUUCUAAUUAGAUUAGAACAAUAAUUUUUGUGUGUCACACGAGAUGAUCUUGGUACAUAUAUAUACUAAUAUCAUAAAUGUUAUGAUAUUAAAGUAUACAUGAUUGGAUCAUAUUUUAUAAAUAAAAUUUAUUUCCGCUGCAUUAAAUGCACAUGCAGAUGCAUACAUUUCCUUACAGUGGCCGAUGCUCUAAGUAGAAAAUCGGCGGAGAAUUUAGCGAUAGCAAUUACGCCUCAACCGCUAUUACAAAAAGAAAUGCAAAGACUUGGGUUGGAAGUGGUAGCGCCGGGAGUGCCGGCUACACUUGUCGCAUUAGUUGUGCAACCGACCCUAUUGGAAAGGAUCAAGGAACUACAGGCUUCGGAUCCUUAUCUUCAAAAGAUACAAGGUGAAGUUGAGAAUGGCAGUGCCGAAGAUUUUGGCAUUGGAGCUGACGACGCACUUCGAUUUCGAAAUCGAUGGUGUGUGCCUAAAGAUGAUGAUGUUCGAAGGGCGAUUAUGCAAGAAGCCACCGGAACUGCCGCUAUGCCCUCACCCUCAGCCGCCUCAUGCACGCGCGCCGAGGGGGCAGGCGGAUCACGACCUUCAGUCGCCGUCGCCGCCGCCUGACGCUCCAUAAGCUCUUGGAGCCGCUCGAACCGACUCUCUUGGCGCUGCACCACGCUAGCUAGCGCAGUCAUCUGCGCCCGCAACUCUUGUACUUCGCUAGAUCCAGCUUGCCCGGGCACCUCAGGAGGCGGUGCCGGAACGGAUCUACGCGUGUAGUGCCUUGGGGACAUUAGCUUCUGAAACAGAACCAACUUUGUUAAUCACCUUAACCCGUUAAACCUCAUUGCACUUACGAAAGCUUACGAAAUAACACGACUCGGCAUCGCAAUUAGGCGGAAGCACACAAGUGUACUUAUUCUAGACUCUUAGUGUCAUGUUGUCGGCCGCCAACACAACCACUGCGAGUCGAGGACUCAUACCACUUGAAUCUGUUUCCAGUCAUUACUAGAAACAUAUUUCAAUCCUGACCCAAUCGAUCAACUCCCGCCACGGUCAUAGGUUCACGUCUCACUCACGUACCUAUAGUUGUUGAUCAAUUCCAUGAUGAGUACUGUUUUACCUACUCCAGCUGUCACGCCCCGAGACCGCUCCCAAUUUGGACCGGGUCGCGGCGCCGCCGACAGACCGCCGAACGGACCGGGAAUUCCCCUGUACGCGGACAGAGUCUCCCCAGUACGUCCAAGGCGUCGCAAUCCAAACAAUCAACGAAUGUUCCAACAAGGAACAGAUAUCAAUCCAGAUUGCAUAAGGAAGUAUCAAAUACAUAAUCUACUUGCUAUUACAAGAAUUCAUUUCACAAUCACGUUAUACAUCACAGUUUCAGUUUACAUUUUUACUUCCAAAUUACAAUCUUACUAUUACACCAGAGUUUGAUACAUUUUCUUUUCUUGUCUUCUAGACCCCUAAGCUAGACUGUCUCAAGGUACUGCUACCUCGUCUCUGUGGCUGGGCGCCGCUACUCUACGCAGACUACCGCCCUCAGUGACCUCGCCCCCGCGCCGCACCACGGAUACGACGUGAAAACCAAAACAAACGUGGGUGUGAAACGCAAGCUCAUGUUCCCAGUGGUAGGCCACCUCAAGGGAAAAGCUCGACGAAUACGCAGUCCUCAGAGGAGGACAUGCAACAUGUCUAAGUCUCAAACAAUAUACAACAGAUAUAUAUAGAUUCAAUUGAAAUACAUGCCAUGCCUCACGAAAUCGCGAUAUGAAAACUCAUUGCAGCAGACUAUGUAGAUCAUUUGAAUUCUCAACUUAUUACCAUUGGCUAACUUUACUCAUAACUUUACUCUAAAGGUUACUAUACACUUUAGGAUCACAUACACUAACCACUGCUAUAAGGUUUCUAUCACCUUAACUCAAGCCCCUCUAUGCUCAUAGCCUCAUAUAGGAGUCUCUACCCAAUCAUAGCUAAACCCGCGACUCCACGGGCUCAUCGAGUCCAAUCAUCCGCGGAUAGUCCCGCACCUUGGCUGCCUCAACGAAGCCUAACCGCACUCUCUCUGAUCAGUCCUCCUAGCGCCGAAAUCGUCGCACACGGCUGAACACGGCUCGAGCACACGACUAACCAUCGGUUGGCGAUCGCGUUGCAUUAUCCAGCGGAGCUCGAGACAUGAGCACUAUCGCGUCUGGCGUGAGAACGGGUCGCACUACACACAACAACGAUCAUGCUCAAACUCAGUCACCUGGAGGCACCCGCAUCGUACUUACCCCCAGCAUGGCAUUCCGUCUAACUCUGGCGCGUCUGAUCCUCAAAUUGGCUUAACCAUCCGGUCGGCGAAAUCGACGGCACAUAACGCCUCACUGGACAAUCGGUUUCAAGCCCGCGCGGGAUCUUCAUGUGAUCGCGCCCCAAUCUACUCUGGUACAUAGCUCGGCGGCGAGUCGUCGAGCACGAACCGCACUCCUAGGCCCGUACCAGGAACAUAGCAAAGUCGCUGGAUGUCCGGAACCACUUACCACAGGUCGACGGCGUUUCUAGCCCAACCCAUAUACUGUUCGAUCCUAGCUCAAUCUAGUGCUAUAACCACUUAUACCUAUCAACCUAGGUUCCAACCACUUCUAGGUCUAUGUCCACAUCACUUAACCUAGAUACACUUCUAGGCUCUCUCUAUCAUCUUUGCCGUAGAUUUAUCCAUUCUAGGUUUACUAGUUAACACUAGGUUUACUAAACUAGUAGUUAGACUGCCACAAACCUAGAUUUGUUUAAUCAACUCUAGUUUUACUAACCAAAACCUAUGUUCUUUUAAACUGCUUAUGAUGCCACUUCGAUCUAGCCUGACAACUUAGUUGUCAGUCAUCUUACUCAUCUACGACGUUAUCGUUGUUUAUAUACAUAUACCAUGCAUCUAUGCUCUUUUCUACUUAGCAAUUACUCUUUGAUCACUACUAACAUGCAUCCCUUUUCUUAGCAUCCUAUCAUCGCAUUAUUAUUACAUAUGCAUUAUACAUUCAUAUCAUGCAUUAACUUAGCAUUUACCAUUAUUAUCUAUGCAUGUAUUAGCAUUAGUGUAACUUGUGCUCACAUGCAUUUCUACUAAGAUUUGUAUCUAUGCAUUAGUCAUAUAUCAUGAUUACUUUACAUUAGCCUAGCAUUAAUCUAAUGCACAUUAAUUCUUUAUGCCACUAUGCAUUUUAUUGAAUAUGGAUUUGCUCUCUAUAUAGCAUUACCAUUAUCAUGCUUCUACUUGCAUCUACUUUAUGCAUCUUUAUUGACAUGACCUCUCAUCUUGUUACAUGCACAUGCUCAACAUGAGAUGUACAUAUGUAACAUAAAGGUGACCUAUGUCGCUUCGGGUAACGCACAAACCCACUUUUAACUCGCCGUUCCGAUGCUCGUCGACACUUGCAAUCGCUCCCGGGCACUCGGCACCCGGCCACGGUCCCGAUAUCCCUGCACCGUGCCUGUCCGACUCAUCCCCACCUCUCUCUCAUCCUGCCCUUCGCGCUGUCCAUACCAUCCGCGACAUCUAUAGGGUUCCUUCUUUCACAGUUAACUAGUUAUGCUCUCCACGCGUCCUCGUGCGCGCACCUCGCGGCUCACACUCUCCAAUACAUGUUUAUACUUCUUCACUCCGCCUUGUGAUCGCACCUCAACAUGCUCGAUCUCAUGAUAUUCAUACCGCAAAACAUCGCCAUCGGCCUUGCUUGCUACGCCCACCGAUCCAGAUUUGCCAAUUUCUGCAAUUAUACUCUUCUUCACUACUCUCCGAUCGCGUCAGUUACCCUCUCUUCUACACCAGGCGCUGCACGUCCCGCACCUCAACGCUCCGGCCUUACCCCUCGUCGCCCGAGGUUUGCGCCUCUCAUUCCCGCAACACUUUCAGUAUCCUGACCCGCUCUUACCUCGCGCACGAGUUUCAACUUUUCUCCCUGCUACUCUAAUCCCCCUACUAUCAUAUAUCCGCUGUCUAAGUCGCCAUGAGACGCUCAAAUGAAUCAGCAAUCCCUCCCUAUAUGUUUUAUUCCAGACAACCCCAUUCGGAAGCUCCCUAACGUACAAUUAACCUCCAAGUAAUCAAAUUAAUGGAUCAACCAUAGCCAACAAUAGCUAAUUAGAGCGCUAAUAGCUGAAAAAUAACACUCCUCAUGCCUCACACGGACUUUUCAGCCAACAUCCAAUUAUCCAAGUUCGAGUUUUUAUUCUAGUUUAAUUUAGCCUCUAUAUCCGACUAUAAGACGCCAGAUGGUGCCGACGCCACACUCUAGCCACGUAAUCAAUCCCCUCGCAGUACACCUUCGCCCCAUUGUUCCCCUCACAGCUCGUCACGAUUCGCAUUUAACCCUUCACGCCUUCGCCCUCUGUUACGCUCUUUGACGCGCCGACUCCCCUUAUUCAGCACGCUUGUCUCAUCCUUAUUUUCUUCCGCCACUCGCCACACUGAACGCUCGUCGCUGUUCGCUUCCUACACCCUUCGCUUGACUCCUUUAAUGUUCCGCUCAUAUCAGCGCGUCUGCUUUACAUGCCGUCAACAAUACGCCCGCCCGCAUUCUUCGGCCAGGCUCCUGACCGGAGCCCCGCACACACCAGCCUAACUCACUGUGUGAAGAUCAUACUGAGGCGCGCUCACUUUAGAAGAGAAUAAUGAGAGGUUUCCUCUCUCAUCCUCCAUGUGCGCUUUGCUUUGUCUUUGUCGGCUGCGCUUGCGCUUGAGGAGGAAGAAGCCUAGUAGCUUCUACUUAUAGUCAACACCUCAAUAGUAGCAUACACUAUUCACAUCAGGCAGCUCCAAAUCUGAUAUCUUUCGCCGGAGCCCUCUGAAUAUCCGUUUGAGCUCAAAUUUGACAGUCAUGUUCGGUUUAAUGUACUGAACAAGAAUAUAUUUUAAGUUUUCAGUUUUGACUCCGUUUGGUCACUGAAAACUGUGCCGAACUGCAAUCUUUAUCAGAUGGCUUUCGGAUGCUAUUUCUCUCUCUACGGGCGUCAGAAAAAUAUGAAACUUCAAAUCUAGCCUCAUUAAAAUAUUUCUGACAUCCCCGCCAAUUUUCAUAAUUUUCUGAGACUGUGCAUUUUCUGCUAAUUAUCUGUCCCAUUUCCAACAGAAAAUUCUAAAUCUUCUGUUUUCAUCCCGAUUUCAAUACAAGUCACUUCUGACUUAUGUUUUACUUCUCUAAAUCCAAUAAAAAUAGUAUCUCAUACUAUUUUUAUUUAUUUUCACUUUUAUAUUUAAAAUCCGGUAUGUUACAUUCCACCGCAGCCUCACCGGAACCAUUUAAAUGUACACCGUAACUUCAUAGUUUUAGAAGUCCGGUACCUUACACCAGCUCCCCCAAAUAGUUCGAUUUUUCCUCCACGGCGACUUAAGGUUUCCAUCCUAGGGCCUCCUAGGUCGAUCCUAGACUUCUCUCUUUACUUGCUCUUACUUGCUCUGAUACCAUAAACACCUGUCACGCCCCGAGACCGCUACCCAUUUGGUCCGGUUCGGGCGCGUCGUACAGACGCCGAACGGACAGCACCUCCCUUGUCCGCCCAAGGCUCAAGCACGGGAUCAUGUACAAGAAUUCGCCCAGAAACAAUUCAAUACAUACAUGAUCCAUACAAUAACAAUAGAGGCACCACAAGUGCAUAACAACAAGAGCAAGUAACACAAGUAUACAUACAAGUGCAAAAAGAGAGAGUUCUAUCUAUUACAUCACAAUCAUCCAUAGUUUACAAUUGAUUUACAUUUUCGUUCAUCCAAAAUGUAGAUACAAGCUCAUUCACAUCUCUCCAAAAUGCAUCUCACAACCUAUACAUCAUCUACUCUCAUAUAUGUAGGCACCUCUAAUGCAAUAGGAGAGCCACUAAUGCAAGGGCGCUAAGCCCUUACGGCGACCCUCGCCCAGAGCACUCGUACUCGGCCCUACAACAAAGUGGGGUGAGAAUUAUCAUCCAUAGUUCUCAGUGGGUUCGGCCGCCAACUCCGCCGAUCUCCCCACUAGGUCCAAGUGGGCACAAGCAGAUAGAUAGAUAGAUAUAUGAAAACAGUAAUGACAUAGUAAGAAAGCUAUGCUGCUAUGCCCAAAUCAUAUCCAAUGUAUGCAUGCACAAUGUGAUAAGUAAAGUAAUCAACUAACAUGCCACUAUGCCUAAAAAGAAAUGUUGUAUACUUGUUCAUCAAUUCUUUUGGCUUAUCCAAUCCUUGGCCAACCCGGAGGUUUGCCCACGACUCACAUGCAUCUCGUGGUAAGGAAACCCAACUCGCUCCCAAAUCUGAGACCGUCUGCGGGACCCCAUAAGGCUAUCCUAGGGACUCCAUAAGGCUAUCCCUCAUGUGACAAAACUCCGGAGCGCACACUUAUGAGAAGCGACCAACACAAGUUCUGAACAGACAGCGAGUAUGAUCCAAUCCUCUCAACUCGAGAAUACCCUAUCCACUAAGGCUAACAGUCACUCGGGAAUCCACCUAUCCCAGUGUCCAUAUGCAAGUGUUUAACUACACUAAGUUCUUGUUCAAUGACUCAUCACUAGGGAAUCCGCCUAUCCUUAAGUUCACAUAUCAAGUGCUACUUUACACUAAGUUUUUUGCCACUCGUUCUAUUGUCAUUGUUAUUUACAUGCCACUCGUUAUGUCUUUAUCAACCAUCGAGUCCAUCUCUUAACUCAGCACUGUAGGAUUCAAUGUCUCGACACAAUCCUUAUCUAUCCACUAUAUCAAGCAUUCAACUCACACUAUGAUAUCAUCUAGGACAGCAUAAGGAAAUGGAAAUGCACAUUUAUCCUACAAUGCGUAUAUGCAAGAGAUGCAAGAUUUAAAAUAACACUAAGACAUAAAGAGAAGCCCAGUUGCUUCGGGAUGACACCACCUACCUUCUGGCAUUGUCACAACUCUAAGAAUGAAGUUCGCCGAUUUUACAACGUCGUCUCGGCCUCCUAGGCGGAAACGAAGCUCGGAAGGUCCUUUUUGCCAGUAACUUUGCACCCACUUGACGAAUCGUCGAACCGUCUUCGCCUACGCGUUUAAACAUCUAGAAAUUAGGUUUACACUUGAUCAAUUUAGAUCAAAACCCAACAAAUCACAACACCCCAUUUUGGAGCCCUAACUUGCAAUCAUGCAAGAAUCCGUCUCUAAAUCCUCAAACUCAUGCAUUAAACACUUAUUAAGCAUGCUAGAGUUCCAACUAAACCGAUUCUAGAGUAUAAAAUCCAAACCCUAAAAGUCUACCAUCAUUGAGCUUAAAGCUUACCUCCAAAAGCUAGCUCCAAGGGUGAAGAGGAAGAAGAAGACGAUGAAGAUCCUUCUCCUUGCUUCCUUCUCCACCAAAACCCUUUUUUUCUUCACCUUCUAGAGAGAGAGGAAGAGAGUUUAGAGAGAGAGAGAGAGAGUUAGGGUUGAGCUUGGGGAAGAAAAUGAGAAGAGAGAGAGAGCUCACACUCAUAUAGCCCCAACUCAUGCUACAAUUGUAUAAAAAUCCCUCAACUUUGCCAAUAUGACACAACCCAACUUGGGCAGAUUCGGGCUACGGGGAUCGGUCUUUCCAAGAGGGAUCGGUCCCCGAGAGUGGUCAAUUUACAGAAAAGGAGUCUUUUCCCCUUUUCCACCCUUACGAGAAUCGGUCUCUCUAACGAGGGACCGGUCCCCGAGAGCACACUCUCGCAGGGCAACCUCAUUCCGAUUUUGCAUACCUACGGGGACCGGUCUCUCCCGCCAGGGACCGGUCCCCGAGAGCAAGUUUUAUGCGCAGAGUCCUCUGCCACAUUUCCAAGCUACGGGGACCGAUCUCUCCCACCAGGGACCGGUCCCCGAGAGCAAAAAUCCAGCACUUUGCAGAAUUUUCACAACUCGCUCUCGGAGGCCAUCUCCAAUGCACUUUUGGCCCUUUUGAUGCCUUCGGACUUUCCGAAGCACACCAAGUCGACAAACAGUCGAUUCUAACUAAAGUUCAACUCUCGUAUUUCUAGAAUUCACUUCCUUACAACAUGGACAUGAACCCCCUCAAUAGGAGGGUGGGAAGGAAGGAAAUAAUAGGUAGGGAGAUUCGGCUCCUAUUGUAACAUACCGGAUUUUGAUAUAAAAGUAAAAAUAAAUAAAAAUAGUGUGAGAUGCUAUUUUUAUUGGAUUUAGAGAAGUAAAAAAUAAGUCAGAAGUGACUUGUGCUGAAAUCGGAACGAAAAUAGAAGAUUUAGAAUUUUCUGUGAGAAANGGUGGGAAGGAAGGAAAUAAUAGGUAGGGAGAUUCGGCUCCUAUUGUAACAUACCGGAUUUUGAUAUAAAAGUAAAAAUAAAUAAAAAUAGUGUGAGAUGCUAUUUUUAUUGGAUUUAGAGAAGUAAAAAAUAAGUCAGAAGUGACUUGUGCUGAAAUCGGAACGAAAAUAGAAGAUUUAGAAUUUUCUGUGAGAAAUGGGGCUGAAAAAUUAGCAGAAAAUACACAGUGUCAGAAAAUUAUGAAACUGAUAUGUCAAAAUUAUUUUUAUGAGGCUAGAUUUAAAGUUUCAUGCCAUUUUAACACCCGGAAAGUGAAAAAUAAAAUCCGACUGCUGCUAUUUGCUAGAGAUUACAGUUUAGUAGAGCUUUCAGUGACCAAACAGGGUCGAAACUGAAAGAUUAAAAUUCUUUCGUCAAGUUAAGUAAAACCGAGCCUGACUUAAUUCAACGGCUUACACUUCAAAAUCAAAGAUCAUUUUGAAGAUAAGUACUUUCCAAAUCUGUUUGAUUUGGGAGUUCGGGUUGCUCAAUACGAGCAAUUUAGAAAAGGAAACAAUGAGGAUCGGCCCAGAUGGAGCCGAAACAAAGAGUGGAACAAAGGGAAAGAGAAAAAUAUAUCUUUCCUUGAAGAAUCGUCGGCUCAUGAAGAGCCGAAUUCGUCUGAAGAGGCUGAAGAUUCAGCUGAUGAAGCCGAAAUAUGUGCAGCCAAGAUGGUUAGAAACCGCCAACCAUACAAAUGUGCCUUGUUAAAGCCUGCUAAAUCAAGUGAGGCGAAGGCACGAGUUUCAGCAUAUACAUAUUUGUUUGAUGUAUCUAUCAAAGACCGAUCUAAUUUUUGAUUGGUUGCUAAAAGACGGACGGAUUCAACUGCAGGAGGGUCAAACUAUACCUCCUGUAGCAGAAUUGAAAAGAAGAAGACAUUGCAAAUGGCACCAUUCAUGGAGCCAUAAGACGAAUGAGUGUACUACCUUUAAAAGGCAGAUUCAAAAGGAGAUAAAUGAGGGUCGGCUCAUAUUUGCCGACGAAGAAAAUAAAAAUAUGAAAAUUGACAAGAAUCCAUUUUCUUUGCAGGUGAAUAUCGUGGACGUUAAGGGAAAGGCAGUCGCAGACAAGAAGACCGCUGAAAACAUCGCUUAUGUCAAGAGGACGCUUCGGCUUUGCAUAAGGUGCAAAGCCGAAAUGACAAAAAAGGAUUGGGAAGUCAUCAUCAACGACAAGAAAAGAAGCAACGAAUGGAGAGAGAUGAUGGACUUUCCAGAGGAGUGGGAAGAGAUUCCCGAAGGAGAGGACAAAUCAGAGGAUGGCUCAGACAAAGCCUCCAACGAGUCUGAACCGGAAGUUGACUCGGUUCAAAAUAAGAAUGAUCUAUUGAUGCAGAAAGUUCUACAUGACUACUACAACAACCAGAGAGAAAAGCAUCACAGCCGAUGAAGUUAUCCAAAGAAACCAUUCGGCUCAAAGCAGAGAUUUCCUGGGUACCGGCCGCACUAGCAGCAUCAAGCCAGGCCGAGAACAGAACCGGAGUUCGAAGGGAUGACCAAGGGAGACAUAGAAUUCCUUGGUCGAAAAUUGGUUAAUGAGCUCGGCAUACAACCAUGGCCGAGACCCUGGGAGGGAAGGGAAAUUUUAAAAAACAUUUGAGAACUGUGAAAGUACCGGCAAAUGUGCCGGUAGAUCAGUGGCAUGAAGUCAAAGUCAAACCAUCAACCAAAUAGCAGGGGCCGAUGUUAACAAAAACACAAAAACGUCGGCAACAGAGGAUGCAAGCCAAGGCGAGGCAACAUUAUGAAGAAGUGAAAGGGAUGAGGCUGAACGUGUGGAGACGACCCAACGAGCCACCACACCCUCUUCGCCCGAUGCGAAAUGAUCAUGAGGUGGGUAGUUCAUCACCCGUUCCUUGGUUAAAAUUGAAGAUAGAACGGCCGAUCACGGCCGAACCAAAAGAGAAGAUGACUAGGAGGGAGCUAGAGGACAAAAUAGCUUUCCUCGUGACAAUCAUCAAGCGAGAACGAUGGCCUCCUAAGGAGAGGGAGGUACGGAUGGAAAGUGACUCUUCAUCCGAGACGGCAAAGAAGUCCGAAGAAAAGAAACAGAAAAUUCAAGAAAAAUCGGCUGAUGAAGGACCAGCUGAUGUUAAUAUGGUUUAUACUCUGCCUUAAUCCUUUAAAGCAGAGUAUACUGAGUACGAAGAGAUAGAUGAAGAAGUUGGGCUCAAUGUGGCUCAAUUGCAGUUAGAAGACACCAAACCGGCCGAUGCAAUGGUUUUUGAAAAACCUUUGGCCAUACAGACGAGAUUUGUGAGGCCUCUGUUCAUUCGGGCCUUGAUCGAAGGUCGGCCAGUAGGCCGAGUCAUGAUAGACGGUGGAGCAAUGGUCAAUGUCAUGCCAACCUCGUUCUUUAAAAGGCUGGGCAAAGGCGAGAACGAAGUGAAGCCAACCGACACAAUCAUGACCGAUUUCACCGGAAGCGAUCAACAAGCUCGAGGGGUGCUCACGACCGAGAUUACGGUACGUUCUAAAACAUUACGAACUGCAUUUUUUGUAGUGGAUGCAGAUAGUCAUUACAACCUACUACUCGGGCGCAAUUGGAUACACGCAAACGAGUGCAUACCUUCCACACUCAACGAAAAAUUAUUCCAGUGGAUAGGAGAUAAAGUUGAAGAAAUUCGGGCCGAAGGACGGCCCCAAAUGGUGGACAUCAACGCAGAAGAGAUCGGCCACAUCAAUUGGGCCGAUGCUGAUCCAGACCAAAUCUCUUUUGUCACGCCCCGGGGUCCCUUUUUGUUUCAAAACACAGCAGAAGUGACUAGAAUUUUUUUUUUUUGAAAACCUGACCCCAGGGUAUGCCAGAUCCCCCACAAAUACAAGGAGUCCACUGUUCACACGGACAGAGUCUCCCCUGUAUUUGCACGGCGUCGCACAAGUACAAACUGUAUAACUAGGAUACAACCACUACCAAAUGAAUAUAGAAACAGCCAUACAUUCAUCCAUUCAUACACCAUUCAUCACAGGUUCACAUUCAGUGUUUAAUCAUAAGUCCACAUCUAUUAGUUAAAACGUUUCCUACCCGAAAACUGGUUUUGAAAUACUAAAAUACAAAAACCACGAGAAAAUCUUUUCAAACCCAUUUCCCACACGGAAUCUCUUUUUUCAUUAAAACCUGCUACCACGAGGGAUAGAAAACUAUUUUCCAUUUUCUAGAAAUUCACAAAUCUUUAUUAAGUUCAGAAAACCAACUGAAAUCUUGAAUAAUCAAACAUAAUGAAAUACUGAACCAUUUUAGCUGUCUAAGUUAUAUCAAUAGAAAUAAAGGAGAUAACAACUAAAUCGAACAAACCGGGUCUGAAGCUCUAUCGACCGCUACGAACGUGUCUCACGUCUCGUCUCAACCCUCACCGCCCGCAAUACCUGAAAAAUGGUGGGGGAGGUGAGAACAUGUAAACAUGUCUCCCCUCCCAGUGGGUACCGCAAGCCGACGAAGGCGAGGAGUACUCACCGGAUCAGGAAGAGAUAAACAAGGUCAAGAGCAGAUAUACUAAAUACAGUAGCAUCAAAUAUACAUGAACAGGAUGUAUAAGAACAACUACCGCUACUGUAAGGAAAAACUGAAUGCAUACAUGGAUAUCAACUAUAGUAGCACGACAAUUGUAAAGAAAGAACUGUAAGUAUGCAUGAAACAACCGCUACUAUAGUCAUAUGCGUCAACCAAACGGCAAGUCCAAAAAUACCCAAUCUGGAAACUGCCCUAUUGGUCCGCAGACCUCAGGCGUGUGCCACAUCUGCUCAACCUGCACAAGACCCUCGCAUAAAGCACCCGAGUCUGGAAGGCAGAUGACCCUAAGCAUAAAGCUCCUGGGUCUACAAGCAUAUAACCCUAGCAUAAAGCUCCUGGGCUCACGGGCUGGCACUUCCAACCACUUUUCUGGAAAAGAACACCCUCUUGCGGUGACCAAACCGCUGGUGUUCGUGAAAUACGUACGAGCAGUGGCGAUCGAUGCUGAUGUGCUCAAUAGCCAACCGUCGGCAACUAGCCGACAAUCACCGCCCCUCGGGGCACACUGACCAAUAGGUCAUCAAACUGUAUGAAACACAAGUACCGACCACUCAGGUCAACUAGGAUGGAACCACUCAACAUCCUAUCGAAGAUAUGCAAGUAUAAUUCAGAACUAACCGUUAGCCACUAACUGACAAUCCUACCCCUCAGGGUAUACCGACCGUAUAGGUCAUCAUAUAACACAACCGACCGAGUAGGUCACGAUAACGAUGCAGUAAGCCGACCGAAUAGGUCACAGGUACGAGACAAAAGGACCGACCAACAAGGUCACAAUACCUGGUGUAACGAACUGACUGACUAGGUCAAACCAAACAUCGGUAACUAGCCGACAAUCCAACCCCUCAGGGUAUACCGACCGUAUAGGUCACAGAUACGAGAUACAAGAACUGACCAAUCUAGGUCACCGAUCUCAUAUGAAAACACGAAACCGCUCUACUCUAGACAUGAUACAGGAUAUGCAGAACAGCUAAGUAGAGCAACAAGGAAAUAUGGUAUAACUACUCUACUCCUACUCAUGAUACUAGGUAUGAAAAACAACCGAGUAGAGUAUAACCAAAACAACAUGGGUGCUAGGCUCAACACUAUAUAUAUAUAUAUAUAUAUAUAUAUAUAUAUGCCAGAUAACAACGAGAGAGUAAGGGUAAGAAACCAUCACCGAGUGUUCACCACUGUACCGACUUCGGAUCGAAGUACCUACCUGUACAAAUACGAUGCCUGUCUCUCGUCUGUGGAAGAAAUAUCAACCGGACCUAAGAAGGGUCCACCGGGUUAGAGUCUAACCCACAAAUAAGAAACACUAAACCCACAACCUCACAAACAAUCCCACGGUGAUCGGUUUUCCAAAACCGACUACCGUAACUUGCCGAAAGUCCCGAAAAUCGCACCGGGACUCCGCCAGGACCCACGAACUGUCUCGAAACUCACCGACUCAAGAUACGAGUUGCCCGCUGCCACUAAACACAUAAUUUCAUGUAACAUGGCAGCAAAGACACUAACUCACACUGAAACUAUUAUCGUCGGAUAAUCGUUCCGAUCCGGGUUCACAGAAGUGUCCAAUUCGACACCGGAACACACCGUCACUCACCCGUCGUUCUCAGACCCUCAAAACGACACGAGUGGACAGCCAACAAGGCUCAGCGACCACACAAAUCAUCACGAAGCACCGUCGGAAGAAUUCUGAACUAAAAUCGCGUUCCGUCGACGGAUUUCGCCGAAAAACGCACCGAAAAUCAACAAUUGAUUUUCAGAAAGGCUUGGGGCCUUGGACGACAAGUCCAGAGGUUUCCCACAGCCCACGUGUGCUGCCCACAGUGUCCCAAACCAUCACAAUUGCAUAAAAGCCCCCCCCGAUACAUAAAAUCACAUUAUUUUAUGUGAUUUCUAGGCUUUUAUGGUCCGUAUACGCAAACCAGAGAUCAAUCAGCCAAACCGAGACCCCUGCUGGUAGGUCUCGGCGUGCCGGAGGCCGUGCUCACCUUUCGGAGCACUGUCGGCCAGUGUGGCAAUCGCACGAGCGACGCGAAGAUCAACGGAACAGCGCGCACAGCUCCUAAAUCGCAUUUAACACACUAACCAGGGCAUCUCUGCCCAUAACGGAGGUGAGCACGAUGUUCAGCACCAGUCGUAGAUCAUCGUGCUCGCUUCCUGAGGUCUAGGGGGAUUAACGGAUCAUCGAAAAGGUGACUGGAACCUCCAAACUAUGUGCAGAAAGCUUUUAAAAGCUUACCGGAGCCGGAGCGAGCUAGGGUUGGUCGCCGGCGGCAGGAUGGCGGGCGUUCCGGCCGAGGAAGGGUGCAUCCGAUCGGAGGGGUCCGGGGCAGGUGUUGGCCGGCGGCAGGCGGCAGCUGGUGGCGCGGCGGUAAGGAU